rnacentral:rRNA from 1 species
GACGAACGCUGGCGGCGUGCCUAAUACAUGCAAGUCGAACGCAGUGGGGACGGGUGCGUAACCCGUGGGUAACCUCCCAUCAGAGGGGAUAACACGUGGAAACAGGUGCUAAACAGCUACUGAUGGAUGGACCCGCGGUGCAUUGGACAGUUGGUGAGGUAACGGCUCACCAAGGCCACGAUGCAUAGCUGGCCUGAGAGGGUGAUCGGCCAAACGGGGACGGAGACACGGCCCAGACUCCUACGGGAGGCAGCAGUAGGGAAGCUUGUGCAAUGGACGAAAGUCUGACCGAGCAACGCCGCGUGUAUGAAGAAGGUUUUCGGAUCGUAAAAUUCUGUUGUUAGAGAAGCGGUAUCUAAACAGAAAGCCACGGCUAACUACGUGCCAGCAGCCGCGGUAAUUC